rnacentral:lncRNA from 10 species
GGACUUGAUGCGACUUCUCAGGUGAGGAGCAUCCGCUUACGCCAGGAGGGAUCAAACCAGCUAUUGAGGCGCAUGUCAUUGCUGAUAAAAAUGGCAUGGACUUCUAUUCGUCUGUCCGUUUUCUGCAGCAGAUAUUUCAUCUCGAGAUCUUGCAGGCUGCUCAAGAAAAUAGUUGAAAAUAUCUCAUUAAAAUCAACAAGCUCCUUCAAUAAGGGUUUUUUUGAAUGUACAUUACAUAGGAGAAAGAGUGCUGGGAUUCUUCAAAUUCAAACAUGGAUAUAGUUUCUACCUUCAUUGGACUGAUAGAGCAGUGAAGAAAGCAAAUAUUUAACAAUGAUUACUCAUGCAACCAUUAAAAGGGUAAUGUGACUCUUACAAAAAUGAAAUAUUUAAUUUGAUCACAAACAGUAUUUAUUUAUUUCUUAAGUGAACGAAUCAUAGUUACUGUGUCUCACCAUUGUACACAAUAUGGAAUAAAAUUAUAACUGUAGAUAAAUUAGUAAUGCAGCAUUAUGAGUCUUUU